GCCCGCUCAGCAACUCAAAGGAAUUGACGGGGGCCCGCGACAAGCGGAGGAGCAUGUGGUUUUAAUUCGAUGAUACGCGAGGAACCUUACCUGGGCUCGAACGUAAGAUGACUGUAGGUGAAAGCUUACAUCUCUUCGGAGCAUUUUACGAGGUGCUGCAUGGUUGUCGUCAGCUCGUGCCGUGAGGUGUCGGGUUAAGUCCCAUAACGAGCGCAACCCCUACCUUUAGUUGCCAUCAGGUUAAGCUGGGGACUCUAAAGGAACUGCCUACGCAAGUAGUGAGGAAGGCGGGGAUGACGUCAAAUCAGCACGGCCCUUACGUCCAGGGCUACACACGUGCUACAAUGGCCGAUACAGAGGGCAGCUACCUGGUGACAGGAUGCAAAUCUCCAAAGUCGGUCUCAGUUCGGAUCGGAGUCUGCAACCCGACUCCGUGAAGUUGGAUUCGCUAGUAAUCGCGCAUCAGCCAUGGCGCGGUGAAUACGUUCCCGGGCCUU
rnacentral:rRNA from 1 species